rnacentral:rRNA from 1 species
GAUGGCGACCGGCGCACGGUGAGUAACACGUAUCCAACCUGCCCUUUACUCGGGGAUAGCCUUUCGAAAGAAAGAUUAAUACCCGAUGGCAUAAUGAUUCCGCAUGGUUUCAUUAUUAAAGGAUUCCGGUAAAGGAUGGGGAUGCGUUCCAUUAGGUUGUUGGUGAGGUAACGGCUCACCAAGCCUUCGAUGGAUAGGGGUUCUGAGAGGAAGGUCCCCCACAUUGGAACUGAGACACGGUCCAAACUCCUACGGGGAGGCAGCAUG